GGCUGGUUAGCUCAGUUGGUUAGAGCGUGGUGCUAAUAACGCCUAGGUCGUGGGUUUGAUCCCCGUACGGGCCA
rfam:Lepisosteus oculatus linkage group LG2, whole genome shotgun sequence.